rnacentral:rRNA from 1 species
UAAGACAGAGGAGCCAAGCGUUGUCCGGAUUGACUGGGCGUAAAGCGCACGCAGGCGGCUCUGUGCGUGGGGUGUGAAAGCUCUUGGCUUAACUGAGAGAGGCCAUCCCAUACGGCAGAGCUCGAGCCAUGCAGAGGUCCGCGGAAUUGCCGGUGUAGUGGUGAAAUGCGUAGAGAUCGGCAGGAACACCCAGGGGGAAACCAGCGGACUGGGCAUGUGCUGACGCUCAGGUGCGACAGCGUGGGGAGCGAACCGGAUUAGAUACCCGGGUAGUCCACGCUUUAAACGAUGGACACUCGGCAUUUGGCGCCGAUUAAUCGGCGCUGGGUGCCCAAGCUAACGCGGAAGUGUCCCGCCUGGGAACUACGAGCGCAAGCUUA